AGGUUUUUACAUUAACGCAGAUAGUGGAUGCCUUGGUCGUAUCUUCCGAAGAAGGACGUACAUAGCCACGAUAGUCGACGGGGAACUGCUACGAAGUUUUGAUCCGUCGGUGUCCGAAUGGAGCAAUCCCUCUGCCUUUGGCAGAGACUUCACAGAAAAAUUAUUAAAUUUAUUUAAUUUAUAUCUGUGAAUGGGGGAACCAGCUGAACUGAAACAUCUAAGUAAGCUGAGGAAUAUAAAUCAAACGAGAUUACGUUAGUAGCGGCGAGCGAAAGCGUAACAGACUAAACCUUGUUCAUGUUCGCAUGAAUGAGGGGUUGCGGGAGCCCAAUAUGGGAUUAUUUUUGAUAGCAGAACAAUCUGGAAUGGUUGAUCAUAGAGAGUGAAAAUCUCGUAUGCAAAAUUUAAAAUAACUCUAGGGAAUUCCCAAGUAGCAUGAAGUACAUACUUUGUGUGAAUCCGGGGGAACCAUCCUCCAAGUCUAAAUAAAGAUACGAACCGAUAGUGAACUAGUACCGUGAGGGAAAGGUGAAAAGAAGGGUGAGACACCCAAUGAAAUAGAAACUGAAACUAUCUGCGGACAAACCGAGAGAGUGCUGCGUAGCCGCAAGGCGAAGUGGUAUGAUCUCGUGCCUAUUGAAGAAUGAGCCUGCGAGUUCUUGCUUACUGUUGUCUAUGACGGUAUUACCGUUGAGGCAUAGCGAAAGCAAGUAUGAAAGUGCGAAAAAUAACAGUAACCAGGAGACCCGAAACCGAGUGAUCUAACCUUGAGCAGGGUGAAGCUGAAUGAAAAUUCAGUGGAGGCCCGAACCCGUUGUUGUUGCAAUAACAUGGGAUGACUUGUGGUUAGUGGCAAAAUACCAACCGAACUCGGAGAUAGCUGGUUCUCCCCGAAAGGUCUUUAGGGACCGCGCCAUGGAUGUUUAUCAGGGGUAAAGCUACUGGAUGAGUCAUCAAGAGUAAUCGAGUUGACCCAACCAAACUCAGAAUACUGAUAAAAUAAAGCAUGGUAGACAGUCAUAUCGGGCUAAGCUGAUAUGGCAAAAGGGAAACAUCCCAGAUUUUCAGCUAAGGCCUCUAAAUCCAUUUUAAGUUUUAAAGGAAGUUUUCUCUCUUAAACAGCUAGGAGGUUGGCUCAGAAGCAGCCAUCCUUUAAAGAUAGCGUAACAGCUCACUAGUCGAUCGAGAGGGAGCGCCCAAGAUUUAUCGAGGAUUAAAAAUGGUGCCGAAGCUAGAAAUUUGUACUGAGAGCAAUCGAAGUACAAGUGGUAGGGGAGCGUCCCAUGUGCAGUGAAGAUGAACUGUAAGGUUUGUUGGAGCGCAUGGGAGUGAGAAUGCAGGCAUGAGUAGCGCACAAGACGGGUGAGAAUCCCGUCCGCCGAAUACCCAAGGUUUCCGUCGCUAGGUUCGUCCACGACGGGUUAAUCGGUACCUAAGGUGAGGUCAGUUUACUGGCGUAGCCGAAGGACAAGUUGUUAAAAUUCAACUAUUUUUUAUGAUUCGUUUUUCAUCGCAAGAUGGGAUACGGUUAAGGAUAACCGAACAGGAAUAUUACAGCCUCCAGUUGAUGGGGGGUAUAAGUUGUAAAGCAGUUUUGACUAGAAAAUCUACCAGAACGUUUUUACCUGAGCAACGAUGUAAACUCUGCCGUGAGGUGGGGAAUUGUAUCCAUUUCAGUUUGCAAGAAAACAUUCGUAACUAGAAUCAUAAUUAGCCGUACCGCAAACCGACACAGGUGGGUUGCAGUAGCACUGUAAGGCGAUCGAGAGAAGGAUCCUUAAGGAACUCGGCAAAAAAACUACCCGUAACUUCGGGAGAUGGGUUUCCUAUUCGUAAUAGGAUGGGAGGCACCUAAAGUUUGCUGACCGACUGUUUAUCAAAAACACAGGUCUGUGCAAAAUCGAAAGAUUAAGUAUACAGGCUGACGCCUGUCCAGUGCCGGUAGGUUAAAGGGAGGGGUGGUGCAAUUUAUUGUACUUGCUCUGAACCAAAGCUCCGGUGAAACGACAGCAGUAACUAUAGACGCAGUUGUAGUUACUAUAAUAAAGUUGACUAUAUGCUGGAAACACUCAAGUAUCUGACAGUACCGAAAGGUGAAAAUCUGUUCAGUGGAGUCAAUCAGCAGGAAAGAUCUUU
rnacentral:rRNA from 1 species